AAGUCAAGUCGAGCGGACAGAUGGGAGCUUGCUCCCUGAUGUUAGCGGCGGACGGGUGAGUAACACGUGGGUAACCUGCCUGUAAGACUGGGAUAACUCCGGGAAACCGGGGCUAAUACCGGAUGCUUGUUUGAACCGCAUGGUUCAAACAUAAAAGGUGGCUUCGGCUACCACUUACAGAUGGACCCGCGGCGCAUUAGCUAGUUGGUGAGGUAACGGCUCACCAAGGCAACGAUGCGUAGCCGACCUGAGAGGGUGAUCGGCCACACUGGGACUGAGACACGGCCCAGACUCCUACGGGAGGCAGCAGUAGGGAAUCUUCCGCAAUGGACGAAAGUCUGACGGAGCAACGCCGCGUGAGUGAUGAAGGUUUUCGGAUCGUAAAGCUCUGUUGUUAGGGAAGAACAAGUACCGUUCGAAUAGGGCGGUACCUUGACGGUACCUAACCAAAAAGCCACGGCUAACUACGUGCCACCAGCCGCGGUAAUACGUAGGUGGCAAGCGUUGUCCGGAAUUAUUGGGCGUAAAGGGCUCGCACGCGGUUUCUUAAGUCUGAUGUGAAAGCCCCCGGCUCAACCGCGGAGGGUCAUUGGAAACUGGGGAACUUGAGUGCAUAAGAGGAGAGUGG
rnacentral:rRNA from 1 species